AUUGAACGCUGGCGGCAUGCCUUACACAUGCAAGUCGAACGGCAGCACGGGAGCAAUCCUGGUGGCGAGUGGCGAACGGGUGAGUAAUAUAUCGGAACGUGCCCAGUCGUGGGGGAUAACGCAGCGAAAGCUGUGCUAAUACCGCAUACGAUCUACGGAUGAAAGCGGGGGAUCGCAAGACCUCGCGCGAUAGGAGCGGCCGAUAUCAGAUUAGCUAGUUGGUGAGGUAAAGGCUCACCAAGGCGACGAUCUGUAGCUGGUCUGAGAGGACGACCAGCCACACUGGAACUGAGACACGGUCCAGACUCCUACGGGAGGCAGCAGUGGGGAAUUUUGGACAAUGGGCGCAAGCCUGAUCCAGCAAUGCCGCGUGCAGGAUGAAGGCCUUCGGGUUGUAAACUGCUUUUGUACGGAACGAAACGGUGAGCUCUAAUACAGUUUGCUAAUGACGGUACCGUAAGAAUAAGCACCGGCUAACUACGUGCCAGCCGCCGCGGUAACAC
rnacentral:rRNA from 1 species